UGUACAUAGGUGUUUCGUGCACAUAAGAUUUUGAUUCUUAAAGGGAAACUCACAUUUCAUGUACAA
rnacentral:tRNA from 1 species